UACAGAGGUCUCAAGCGUUUGUUCGGAUUCAUUGGGCGUAAAGGGUGCGUAGGCGGCGCGGUAAGUCGGGUGUGAAAUCUUGGAGCUUAACUCCGAAACUGCAUUCGAUACUGCCGUGCUUGAGGACUGGAGAGGAGACGUGGAAUUUACGGUGUAGCGGUGAAAUGCGUAGAUAUCGAUAAGGAAGACCAGUGGCGAAGGCGGGU
rnacentral:rRNA from 1 species